CCCUUCCAUACGAAACGGAGAAAACAUCGGUACGUGGGCUGAUGGAGUGCGACGCCCAGUUUCUUAUGGCUGACGGGUCCAGGGACGAGCCUUGCGAGAAUGCUUCAUCAGCAAGCAUUAGGAUCUGGACCAGUGGCUCCAACAUAUCAAGUACUUUAUCCUGUGCCAUGCAGAGACUGCCACAAUCCCUUUUUUGGGAUAGCGUCCAGAGUGG